rnacentral:rRNA from 1 species
AUGGUGGGGAUGGACACCUUCAUCUUCGGCAGGAGCUUGGUCGGCUUCGAUGAGGCCGCCCUGGGCUGCUUCGGCGCCUUUUCAGUCGGCGCUGGAGAGGUGGUCCGGGGGCGCUUGGUCGACUGGGUGGCGGUCGCAACCCCCUUGCCACGUUCGGUCGAAGGGUCGUGGACAAGCUUCGACCGCCUUUCUGAGCGCGGUGGAAUGACCUCCUCCUCUUCCUCUUCUUCCUCGUCCUCGAUGUCAUCUUCAUCAUCUUCAUCAUCAUCAUCGUCGUCAUCACCCCCUGCGGCAUCCGAGUCCCACUCCUCCUAUUCCUGGCUCUCGCCCCCGCUCGCCUCGCCCCCACUCGCCUCGCCUUCCUCAGCCGAGGCUUGUGCCCCAUUGGGCAUCGAGUACAGUUCAGUGAGGGCCUAG